CAUUGAACUUAAGAUUCAAAUAUAAAGUAUUUUUAAACUUUUAUUAAAA
rnacentral:tRNA from 1 species